rnacentral:rRNA from 1 species
CCUGGCUCAGGAUGAACGCUGGCGGCGUGCUUAACACAUGCAAGUCGAACGGUGAACACGGAGCUUGCUCUGUGGGAUCAGUGGCGAACGGGUGAGUAACACGUGAGCAACCUGCCCCUGACUCUGGGAUAAGCGCUGGAAACGGCGUCUAAUACUGGAUAUGUGACGCGACCGCAUGGUCUGUGUCUGGAAAGAAUUUCGGUUGGGGAUGGGCUCGCGGCCUAUCAGCUUGUUGGUGAGGUAAUGGCUCACCAAGGCGUCGACGGGUAGCCGGCCUGAGAGGGUGACCGGCCACACUGGGACUGAGACACGGCCCAGACUCCUACGGGAGGCAGCAGUGGGGAAUAUUGCACAAUGGGCGCAAGCCUGAUGCAGCAACGCCGCGUGAGGGACGACGGCCUUCGGGUUGUAAACCUCUUUUAGCAGGGAAGAAGCGAAAGUGACGGUACCUGCAGAAAAAGNCCGGCUAA